UAAGACUCAUUUUUCUCCCAAGUGCUUGUAAACUUAACAUCACUGCCUUCCUCUGCCACAAACUAUGUCCUUACAUCAUGUAAAGAACAGAAAACCUGAGUGGUUUGUCAGCUGCUUGUAUUCCUGUCAGGAAAAUGACAUCUCUCAAUUAUCUUCCAGUAAGUAUCACCCAUAGCACGUGCUUCCUUUGCCAUUCCCUUGCAAGAUGGAAUAUUUUUAUGGCUCUUGAGGAAAAACUGUUGUGCUUGAGCUAAAUUCAAGGUUAGCAAACCUUCCUAAUCCCAGCAGCCAAUCAGUUUUUUUUACAGAGGGUUCUCCCUCCAAAAGGGGCAAUGUCAGUCGAGGAGAGACCCUGUCUGUCCUGAUCUUGUUGUAUCAAAAUAUUUACUUAGUUAUCACGUGGUGGCAAUCUUCCAUUAUGCAAGAUUGCAAAGUCAUUAUGGGUAUUGUAUAGGUGAGAAAAGAGUUACUUAUCUAUGGUAAAUUGCUUUACUGAGAUAAAUUGCAUUUUCUCUUGGUCUAUUUUGGUAUCUUCAUCUACUAGUGGUGAUAGUGUUGGGCUGGGAAGUACUAAUAGCUGCUAUCAGGUUUGAAGGAGUCAAACAACAUGUGGGAUGAAUGCCAGUGAAAUUCAGAGAGGUUACUGUGGCUUUCCAGCUCAGGAAGCUACAAAGUCUUCAGCAGCACUGAAUCCAAAGCAGUCUUGCUAUGGGGCGCAUGCUUCUCCACAAACAUUUAAAUUAUAAAGAUCUUCAGGAUAUGCCUCUGAGGUGUGUUGUUUCCCUUCUAGAAUCCCAGUGCUCAGGGGAAGCUGCUUGUACCAGCCACAUACAGAAAAGCAGCCUGGGAAUCUGGACUGUGAUUUUAGUUUGAAGGAAAUAUGGAUCAAAGGAAACUGCUCUCACAGCCAGAGAUCAUAAUUGUACAAAGUCACGGUAUAUUCCUGAUGACUUCGGUAGCUCCAAAGGAUUUGACUGACAUCAGAAAAUCCAUAUGAUACAAGUUCCAAGUGCCCCAUCCAGGUGAACUUUAUACUGCUGUCACCAUUCUCAUAAGAGGCCUUUGGGAGCUACUUCUGAUCCUGGAACAAGAGGCAAAACUGCUCUGGUUUGGCUUAUUCACCUCCCAGAAGACCCUGCUUGGAAACAGAAUUCCCAGGAUCAGUGGGAUGUUGUUUAACAAACGGAGACGGCUAUGUUCUAGUCCACUACAGGAUCAACAGUGAAAUCUUGCUGGCCUCUAUGCAUCUACCUUAAUGGCUUAAAACCUUUAAGAUAUGACUUGAAGUGAGGUGUAUAAGCCCACAGUUGCAAUCCCACCAAAUCUUUCUCAGCUGUAGUGAUACCUUCUGCUAUUUACAUUUAAAUUCCAAGUAAAAUUCUUGACCAGGUGUGUUAUUAGAAGUGCUUCAAGUUGAGCAGCUGAACAUUACUUUUCCAGGAAAGCCUGGUUUGGUCUUCAGAGGGACCCAACCUGUUGAGUGUUCUCAGGGUCAGAUCCUUGCCAUAUACUCGCUGUCUCCUUGGGCUUCUUGCGAAGUAUUCCUAAGCUUGUCGUCUGCUUGUCUUUAGAGAUAACCUUCACCCACUUUUUUUUUUUUUCUUUCAAAUUAACAGUCUCCUGAUUUGUUUCCACUUCCUUCUGACAAUGAAAAUGUCCUCUUCCUCAACUGAUCAUUACAUGUAAAUCAUGGUCCCUUAGUAGGGACCAGAUCCUGACUCUCUUCUCUGUUAAGUAACUGCCCAAUUGCAAAGACAUCAGCUCACUGAAAAUGCUUUUCUUUGCCAAAGCAAAACAAAUCUGGUAGUGCCAAAGGCACUCAAUUUCUAAAAGGUAUUCCAGAACAGCAACCACCUCAUAAUAAAGCACUCAAAUACAUUUUUCAAAACCUAGUGAAGUAACACUGCAUAUAUGAAGCAUAAUUCAGCAGACAAGGAGGAUUACACUAUUUUGAUUUUAUUAGCUAACUUCUCUUUUAGAUUGAAGUAUCCAAAGAUGACAUAAAGACUUUUGACCAAAAAUAAACAAACAAACAAAAACACAAAACCUAAAAAACAAAGGGCUUUCUAUCAAAGUUUUUAUGUUUUCCAGUGGGUGUUCAUUUCUUUCACAGUAGCACAAAUCUCCAAAAGGACCAAACACCACAAAAGAUGUCAGUGUCUAGGUCGUGGAUGACAGGUAUCUUCUCAGUACUGAAAGUACAGGUGUUUUGAAAUAAUACCUA